rnacentral:sRNA from 1 species
ACCUGGUUUAUUAUUUAGAGGCCAGACUGAUGUGACUUAAUAGUGGAGCAUUUGACUCAUAAAGGAACUGUUGUAGAAGUAAUACCUUUUCUUUUUACUUUUCAGGUUUACAAGUAAAAGUAACCAAGCUAAAACAGGAACGAAUCUUAGAUGCACAAAGACUAGAAGAAUUCUUCACCAAAAAUCAACAGCUGAGGGAACAGCAGAAAGUCCUUCAUGAAACCAUUAAAGUUUUAGAAGAUCGGUGAGUCUGGCACUUAGGUCUUGAGUAAGAAGUGAUUUCCUCCAUAAUAAGGAGAACAUUGACUUUCAUUUGUAAUUAGUUUUGGGAUUGAAAGUGAUCUUUCCCACAGCGUUCUCUCACCUUUGAAUGAAUACUUUAUGAAAAUAAGGAUCUAUUCUUAAAGAUUUUCAUUCUGAGAUCACAUCAGUUUACCCUUUAAAUGAUAUCUUUAUCUGGUGUUUGAUGUAGUGGAAGCUCAGGGGUAGCAAUGUUCUAAUUCAUUUAAUGCUUUAAUUCCAGUUUUACUUCUAAGUAGGUGGAAACUGCUUCACAAUUCUG